UCAGGCUGGAUCACCUCCUUAGAGUUUGAUCCUGGCUCAGAUUGAACGCUGGCGGCAUGCCUUACACAUGCAAGUCGAACGGUAACAGGUCUUCGGAUGCUGACGAGUGGCGAACGGGUGAGUAAUACAUCGGAACGUGCCCGAUCGUGGGGGAUAACGAGGCGAAAGCUUUGCUAAUACCGCAUACGAUCUACGGAUGAAAGCGGGGGAUCUUCGGACCUCGCGCGGACGGAGCGGCCGAUGGCAGAUUAGGUAGUUGGUGGGAUAAAAGCUUACCAAGCCGACGAUCUGUAGCUGGUCUGAGAGGAUGAUCAGCCACACUGGGACUGAGACACGGCCCAGACUCCUACGGGAGGCAGCAGUGGGGAAUUUUGGACAAUGGGCGAAAGCCUGAUCCAGCCAUGCCGCGUGCAGGAUGAAGGCCUUCGGGUUGUAAACUNCUUUUGUACGGAACGAAAAGCCUCUUUCUAAUAAAUAGGGGUCAGACAGGUACCGUAAG
rnacentral:rRNA from 1 species